GAUGAACGCUGGCGGCGUGCCUAAUACAUGCAAGUCGAGCGAAGCGGGGACGGGUGAGUAACACGUGGAUAACCUCCUAUACGACUGGGAUAAUCUUGGGAAACCGGAGCUAAACCGGAUACUUAGAGAUGGAUCCGCGGUGAAUUGGCUAGUGGGUAAGGUAACGGCUUACCAAGGCAACGAUGCAUGGCCGACCUGAGAGGGUGAUCGGCCACACUGGAACUGGAACACGGUCCAGACUCCGACGGGAGGCAGCAGUAGGGAAUCUUCCGCAAUGGACGAAAGCCUGACGGAGCAACGCCGCGGGAGUGAUGAAGGUCUGCGGAUCGUAAAACUCUGUUAUUAGGGAAGCGGUACCUAAUCAGAAAGCCACGGCUAACUACGUGCCAGCAGCCGCGGUAAUAC
rnacentral:rRNA from 1 species